GGGCGUAUGGUGUAGUGGUAUCACUCAUGCUUUGCACCUGUUGCGUGGUCAUCCCAUGCAAUGUUCAUGUAUGCGGUCCAGGGUUCAAACCCCUGUGCGUCCA